UACAGAGGUCCCAAGCGUUGUUCGGAUUCACUGGGCGUAAAGGGUGCGUAGGUGGUGAGGUAAGUCGGAUGUGAAAGCCCGGGGCUCAACCUCGGAACGGCAUUCGAUACGGGACGGCUGGAGACCGGGAGAGGAGAGUGGAAUAGCCAGUGUAGAGGUGAAAUUCGUAGAUAUUGGCUGGAACACCGGUGGCGAAAGCGGCUCUCUGGCCCGGUUCUGACGCUGAGGCGCGAAAGCGUGGGGAGCAAACAGG
rnacentral:rRNA from 1 species